rnacentral:pre_miRNA from 1 species
AGUGGUGUAAUAGAGGGUGCACAGGCAUGGGAGCUCAGGUGAGCUCAGCUCUCUGCCUCACCUGAGCUCCCAUGCCUGUGCACCCUCUAUGGGCU